UGGGGAAUAUUGGACAAUGGGCGAAAGCCUGAUCCAGCCAUGCCGCGUGUGUGAAGAAGGUCUUCGGAUUGUAAAGCACUUUAAGUUGGGAGGAAGGGCAGUAAGCGAAUACCUUGCUGUUUUGACGUUACCGACAGAAUAAGCACCGGCUAACUCUGUGCCAGCAGCCGCGGUAAUACAGAGGGUGCAAGCGUUCAUCGGAAUUACUGGGCGUAAAGUGCGCGUAGGUGGUUCGUUAAGUUGAAUGUGAAAGCCCCGGGCUCAACCUGGGAACUGCAUCCAAAACUGGCGAGAUAGAGUAGGGCAGAGGGUGGUGGAAUUUCCUGUGUAGCGGAGAAAUGCGUAGAUAUAGGAAGGAACACCAGUGGCGAAGGCAGCCAUCUGGCCUAACACUGACGCUGAGGUACGAAAGCAUGGGGAGCAAACAGG
rnacentral:rRNA from 1 species